rnacentral:rRNA from 1 species
UCUAUAACCCUUUGUGAACAUACCUAUAACUGUUGCUUCGGCGGGUAGGGUCUCCGCGACCCUCCCGGCCUCCCGCCUCCGGGCGGGUCGGCGCCCGCCGGAGGAUAACCAAACUCUGAUUUAACGACGUUUCUUCUGAGUGGUACAAGCAAAUAAUCAAAACUUUUAACAACGGAUCUCUUGGUUCUGGCAUCGAUGAAGAACGCAGCGAAAUGCGAUAAGUAAUGUGAAUUGCAGAAUUCAGUGAAUCAUCGAAUCUUUGAACGCACAUUGCGCCCGCCAGCAUUCUGGCGGGCAUGCCUGUUCGAGCGUCAUUUCAACCCUCAAGCUCUGCUUGGUGUUGGGGCCCUACAGCUGAUGUAAGCCCUCAAAGGUAGUGGCGGACCCUCCCGGAGCCUCCUUUGCGUAGUAACUUUACGUCUCGCACUGGGAUCCGGAGGGACUCUUGCCGUAAAACCCCCCAAUUUUCCAAAGGUUGACCUCGGAUCAGGUAGGAAUACCCGCUGAACUUAAGCAUAUCAAUAAGCGGAGGAA